AUUACCUUCAAUGUGUGCAAAUUAAUGUAAAAUUCUUGUCAAUAUUUAAUACUCCCUGAAGAUGACACGAGAGUGGCGAAACGCGUAGGAGGGACAAGGGAAAAAUAUUAGCAUUUCGCCUUUUACUCCAUCGGCCGAAGCAGCUCCAACCCAGCAAACAAAAAGGUUU